rnacentral:rRNA from 1 species
AUGGCGCCCGACCUGUCUGCCUCUGCCCCGCCGACCUCGCUGUCACCCGCGGCCACUGUCGUCUCCGGCGUGCAGGAGCACGUCCGGGAGGUUCGCCGCGGCCGGAUCCGUUCGUUCCGGGGACCAGCUCAAGCCGGGACGGUCAGUGUGCUCGCCAUCGAGCCCUUCUUCGCCGCGGACGUCACCAACUCGUCGUCCUUGCCACUGCUCCGGGUCGCCUCCGACCUUCUAACCUCGUCCACGAGAACCGAGACACCGAGACAGACGCUGUUGCUGCCCCGAUCGACUACGGUGUUGACGACCCCUCCUUCUUGCCAGAGCAACCAGACGUCGCAACUAGAUGAUGGAGCCCAGGAGCCAGACGCCAUCGUCGACGACGACCCCUACUACACCGAGGGUGCCUACUACUACGUUCAGGACGCCAAUGACCAGGAGUAG